rnacentral:rRNA from 1 species
AACGUAGGAGGCGAGCGUUAUCCGGAUUCACUGGGCGUAAAGCGCGUGUAGGUGGUUCGUUAAGUGGCAGGUGAAAGCCCCUGGCUCAACUGGGGGAGGUCCUGCCAAACUGGCGGACUGGAGGAUCGGAGAGGAGAGUGGAAUUCCCGGUGUAGCGGUGGAAUGCGUAGAGAUCGGGAGGAACACCAGUGGCGAAAGCGGCUCUCUGGCCGAUAACUGACACUGAGACGCGAAAGCGUGGGUAGCAAACGG